CAACUACCCUGAAAAACAAAUAUUGAAAUCACAAACCCAAACUCCCACCUUAUUUAAGAAAUCUUUAGCAUUCAUUCUCUCUCAUUAUUUCAGUCUGACCAACAAAACCCAAGAACCUGUCCUACUCUCAAAGCCGCCCAAUGUAUUCAGAAACAUAAUAAUACUAUCACAUAAAAAAAAAUAUAUCACAUAAUAUUGACAUACAUAGGAGUUAAUGCGACCUCAUUCAUAAAAGGGAAAGAUGGGUUCCAAAUAAUUAUUUUCCCCUUUCUUUCAUUUUAUCUUCUCUCUCUGUUUUCUUUUGAUAUCGGGUUAUCAGGAAACUUGGGCAGCGGUUUUUGCAGUUUUUUUGUUCUAAUUUUUGGGAAAAAGAUAAGACCUUUUCCCUCUGUUUUUAUUUUAUUUCUCACCUUAACUUAGAAAUCAGAGAUACAUUUAUAAGAGAGAGGUUUGAGUGGGGGAAAUAUAGAUGGAUAUGAUUUAUUACCCACUGGGGAGGUCUUCUUACGAGGACUCCAUCAAAGUCUUGGAGGC
rnacentral:lncRNA from 1 species